rnacentral:rRNA from 1 species
CCACACGACUCUCGGCAACGGAUAUCUCGGCUCUCGCAUCGAUGAAGAACGUAGCGAAAUGCGAUACCUGGUGUGAAUUGCAGAAUCCCGCGAACCAUCGAGUCUUUGAACGCAAGUUGCGUCCGAGGCCAUUCGGCCGAGGGCACGCCUGCCUGGGCGUCACG